UCGUUAUAUACUAAAAUUAAUCAAAGUGUAACUGUGGCGACCCCAAAUUCGGAUACUUGAAACCCGAACUCGGUUCUCCACGAUACCAUUUUUUUAAGCUGAAUAAUACUAAAUAAUAAUAAUAUAAUUCGAACUUAAUUUACAUACAUCAAAGUUUACUUCCCCAGGUACGCGACCUUCAAAUACAUUCCUUACAAUACCUGACAAUAGAUUACAUUGUCUUACUAACUAUAACCAUUAACUCAUACUAAAUCUCUAAGCCUCUGUGCAAUCGCAAUCCGUACGAAAUCAGUAUUAAAUAGAUCUCCUCCCUUGUUCGUG
rnacentral:lncRNA from 1 species